GAGAACUUUUAAAGUUUGCAUGAAAACGUUUGUUUUCUAAGUAAGGUGCCAUUUUCAUGGCUGAAAGGCUAGCUGACAUCAAGUGUUUUCUGCCUACUGGGUCAAUUGAUCUCAUUUGGGAAGGUAAAUGAUUUUCAUGACAAUCACAGCACCGUUAUUAUUAUUGCCAUUUAUAUAGCACCAACAGAUUCCGUAGCGCUUUACAAUAUUAUGAGAGGGGGGGGUGUAACUAUAAAUAGGACAAUUAUUUUUUCCACUCCGCAUUAUGGACAGGAAGUCCUAAUUGGUGAUGUAAGUACCUAUAUUUACACAAAAUACACUUGGAAACUGCACAUUUUCUAUAUUGUUCCUUUAAAUCUAUUUUAUAAUAAUCUGUUUUGAGCAAAGAAAAGAGUUACUUGCACACUAUCCCAAAUUGCUAUGAACAUUUAAAUAAAUGGAAAAUGUAGUAUCACUCCAGUGGCCAUUAAAGUGUAAGUUCAUCUGCCACGUCAAAGCAAACAUCUUAGGUGAGUCCUACACUAUCAAUUUACCUUGCUUCUUUCAGCUUCAGGUAAAAAAUCUCGGAUAAAGAGGGGUAUUUUCUGCUCUCAAACUCCCACUACUCCUGGACGGCAGCAAUGUCUAUAGUACACAUCAGCCCCAAUACAUACAAUUAAAAAAGGAGGUUUUUAGUAUCACUCCAGUGUAGGGAUAGUGUGCAAGUAACUAUUUUCUUG